rnacentral:rRNA from 1 species
UGGGGAAUAUUGCACAAUGGGCGAAAGCCUGAUGCAGCGACGCCGCGUGAGGGAUGACGGCCUUCGGGUUGUAAACCUCUUUCAGCAGGGACGAAGCGCAAGUGACGGUACCCGCAGAAGAAGCACCGGCUAACUACGUGCCAGCAGCCGCGGUAAUACGUAGGGUGCAAGCGUUGUACGGAAUUACUGGGCGUAAAGAGUUCGUAGGCGGUUUGUCGCGUCGUUUGUGAAAACCAGCAGCUCAACUGCUGGCUUGCAGGCGAUACGGGCAGACUUGAGUACUGCAGGAGAGACUGGAAUUCCUUGUGUAGCGGUGAAAUGCGCAGAUAUCAGGAGGAACACCGGUGGCGAAGGCGGGUCUCUGGGCAGUAACUGACGCUGAGGAACGAAAGCGUGGGUAGCGAACAGG